UGAUGUUCAAACUGCUAGGAAAAUAAAAAUUUCAAAAGUUCUUCUUACUCUCUCUUCGAUAUGAUAUGAUGAAAUGAUAUGAUAGUUGUUAGACUGAGUUGACUUUUGAAAUUAUGCAACUAAUUGUCAGGGUAUCCCGAUUUAUUUUACAUUUUGAAAUACAUCGUCGGUUUCUUUGUCUCUUUAGAGAAUACCGUAACGACAUUGAAUGUGAAGAAGAAGAACAAAGCUAUCCAUAUGUUCAUACCUUCUAUUAAAACUCUCAUAGUUUCUGUUGUUAAAUAAUUAUACUGCCAGGAUAAUCUGUGAAUAUAAACAGAGCACGAACUGUGAGUCAAAGCUUAUAGUUAUUGUUACUGCGAAAGAAAAAAAUUUAAUACUGAUUUCACAUCAAGUUUUGCGCGGAAGGAUAAAGAGUAACCUAACACAAAGAAAUGCUGUCCCUAGGCGAAGAAACCGACGCAAUGGCUGGGGGUAGUCGAAUGUGCAGGAGAACGUAAGUCACUGCAAAACUUGCAAGAACUAUAACUCUUCAAUUUUUAAAGCGGUCUUAUCAUAGGCGUUGGGAACACGAGCCUGUUUCACACGAGCAUAAGCCGGCAGUUUUCGAUUGAGGUCCAAAGUAUAGAGAAAGAAGUCCUUAACGUCGGCAAAACUUGGGGUUGAAUGGCAGAGCGAACUGGCUGGAUUGAUUAAUGAAGUCUUUUAAGAAAGUGACUAAGAAAUACGUUGUGGUUGAGUUUACUGGACGAGUUAAAAAAGGCAAAAUAAUCGCAUAAACAUAAGAAUGCAAAGAGAAGACGUUAGGUAAAUCUACUUUUCUAAAGUCGCGAUUCUGAACGAUUUUUUGCAAUAACAUUGGAAAGGAUAUGAAUACACGAUUAAGGGAAUUAUCAAAGGAUUUUAAGAAUGAACCGGCAAAACUUUGAUUUUAUUAUAUGAAUUAUUCCAUUAUCCAAAAUUACUCUUUAAUAUAAAGAACUUUAACAAAACAAUAGGGAAGACAAUACGAGUAAUAAACCGCCUUUAUCGCAAUUUUCAUUUUUUUGGAAAUUAGGCGAAGUAUAAGUUGAAGUUCCAUGUAAUGUAAAAGAAAGAUAAAUUUAUAAAGUGUAAAAUAUAUAAAGUGAGAUGAACAACUUUUAAGUUUAAAAUAAGACUUUU